rnacentral:rRNA from 1 species
UACGAAGGGGGCUAGCGUUGCUCGGAAUUACUGGGCGUAAAGGGAGCGUAGGCGGGUUAUCAAGUUGGAGGUGAAAGCCCAGGGCUCAACCUUGGAAUUGCCUUCAAAACUGAUAGCCUAGAGUAUGAUAGAGGUAUGUGGAACUCCGAGUGUAGAGGUGAAAUUCGUAGAUAUUCGGAAGAACACCAGUGGCGAAGGCGACAUACUGGGUCAUGACUGACGCUGAGGCUCGAAAGCGUGGGGGAGCAAACAGG